GAUGAAGAACGUAGCGAAAUGCGAUACGUAAUGUGAAUUGCAGAAUUCAGUGAAUCAUCGAGUCUUUGAACGCACAUUGCGCCCCCUGGUAUUCCGGGGGGCAUGCCUGUCCGAGCGUCAUUGCUGCCCUCAAGCACGGCUUGUGUGUUGGGCCUCCGUCCUCCUCCCGGGGGACGGGCCCGAAAGGCAGCGGCGGCACCGCGUCCGGUCCUCGAGCGUAUGGGGCUUCGUCACCCGCUCUUGUAGGCCCGGCCGGCGCUUGCCGACACAUCAAUCUUUUUUCCAGGUUGACCUCGGAUCAGGUAGGACUACCCGCUGAACUUAAGCAUAUCAAUAAGCGGAGG
rnacentral:misc_RNA from 1 species